UACGGCGAGUGAAGCGGCAAAAGCUCAAAUUUGAAACCCUCGGGAUUGUAAUUUGAAGAUUUGGCAUUGGAGAAAGCUAACCCAAGUUGCUUGGAAUAGUACGUCAUAGAGGGUGACAACCCCGUCUGGCUAACCGUUCUCCAUGUAUUGCCUUAUCAAAGAGUCGAGUUGUUUGGGAAUGCAGCUCAAAGUGGGUGGUAAACUCCAUCUAAAGCUAAAUACUGGUGAGAGACCGAUAGCGAACAAGUACUGUGAAGGAAAGGUGAAAAGAACUUUGAAAAGAGAGUGAAAUAGUAUGUGAAAUUGUUGAUAGGGAAGGAAAUGAGUGGAGAGUGGCCGAGGUUUCAGCCGCCCCUCGUGGGCGGUGUACUGCCGACGCCGAGUCAUCGAUAGCGAGACGAGGGUUACAAAUGGGAGCGCCUUCGGGCGUUCUCCCCUAACCCUCCACACUGCCACCGACGACAUAAUCCACCCAUUUCACCCGUCUUGAAACACGGACC
rnacentral:rRNA from 1 species